UGGGGAAUUUUGGACAAUGGGGGCAACCCUGAUCCAGCCAUUCCGCGUGAGUGAAGAAGGCCUUCGGGUUGUAAAGCUCUUUCGGUGGGAACGAAACGGUCCAAGCGAAUAACUUGGGCUAAUGACGGUACCCAAAGAAGAAGCACCGGCUAACUACGUGCCAGCAGCCGCGGUAAUACGUAGGGUGCGAGCGUUAAUCGGAAUUACUGGGCGUAAAGCGUGCGCAGGCGGUUAUUUAAGACAGAUGUGAAAUCCCCGGGCUCAACCUGGGAACUGCGUUUGUGACUGGAUAGCUGGAGUAUGGCAGAGGGGGGUGGAAUUCCACGUGUAGCAGUGAAAUGCGUAGAGAUGUGGAGGAACACCAAUGGCGAAGGCAGCCCCCUGGGCCAAUACUGACGCUCAUGCACGAAAGCGUGGGGAGCAAACAGG
rnacentral:rRNA from 1 species